rnacentral:rRNA from 1 species
UACGUAGGGUGCGAGCGUUAAUCGGAAUUACUGGGCGUAAAGCGUGCGUAGGCGGUCCCGCAAGUCCGCUGUGAAAGCCCCGAGCUUAACUUGGGAACUGCAGUGGAAACUAUGGGACUUGAAUCCGGCAGAGGGGGGUGGAAUGCCACGUGUAGCAGUGAAAUGCGUAGAGAUGUGGAGGAACACCGAUGGCGAAGGCAGCCUCCUGGGCCAGCACUGACGCUCAUGCACGAAAGCGUGGGGAGCAAACAGG